UACAGAGGGGGCAAGCGUUGUUCGGAAUUACUGGGCGUAAAGGGCGCGUAGGCGGCCCGCUAAGUCGAACGUGAAUCCCCAGGCUCAACCUGGGAACUGCGUCCGAUACUGGCAGGCUUGAAUCCGGGAGAGGGAUGUGGAAUUCCAGGUGUAGCGGUGAAAUGCGUAGAUAUCUGGAGGAACACCGGUGGCGAAGGCGGCAUCCUGGACCGGUAUUGACGCUGAGGCGGCGAAAGCUAGGGGAGCAACG
rnacentral:rRNA from 1 species